rnacentral:lncRNA from 1 species
GAUCCGGCGUUGCCGUGAGCUGUGGUGUAGGUCGCAGACGAGGCUCUGGUGUUGCUGUGGCUUUGGUGUAGGCCAUCGGCUACAGCUCCUAUUAGACCCCUAGCCUGGGAACCUCCGUAUGCCGCAGGUGUGGCCCUAAAAAAGACCAAAAAAAAAAAAAAAAAGACUUUUCUCCAUGUCACCAGCUUCUCCACAUCAAUUCCUUCUUUAACCUGUUGGAGUUUGCUUUCCACCCCAAACCUGUCACUAAAACUGCCUCCUGAAAGAUCACCAAGGACCAGAAAACUGGUAAAGUCUGUGUGAUUUGACCUCGGCCUCCUCAUCCUUCUGUGCCAUUUCACAUAAAGGGCCGGGCUCGUCCAUGGCUUCUCUCAUGGCUGCUCCUCAGUCUCCGGGGUUGCCUCCUCUGCCUCCUGUCAAGUUGGCAUCUCCCAAGGUUCUGUCUUUGGUGCCUGCCUUUGCUGCUGUUGCUCUUGCUGCCCUGGUGUUAUUACCCUCCCCCGCCCCCAACCUUGGUGUCUACGUGUCUGAUCACGACCUUUCUUCUGAGCCCUGGCACUAAAAGUUCCACAGCCUUUCCUGCCUAAAAAUGUCCUGUUCGGAGAGGAAGUAUCACGAGACACUUGGCAAGGGCACCGAGGAUCUGCACCGAGAUGUUAAGAAGGGAAAGACAGGAGAGGUUCAUAAAGUGUUUGGCAGAUAAAAUGAACAGGUCUUUGAAGGAUUAGCUGUCCCAAGGAAGGGAGGAGGAGAAAGGAAGAGGAGAGACAGGAGGGGGCAUGGUUGACCCCAAGUGUUGCAGCUCAGGUAAGUGGGAGCGUGGUUGUGUCCUUAUUGGUCUAAAGGACACAUGUGCUGCUAGAACCCUCUAUCUAAAACAUAGGUCAAAUCCUGCCAGUGUCCUCCUCGCUUUUUGUCUUAGCUUUUAUUAGCAAGAGAGCCCUCUGGACGUUCAGGCUCUUAACAAGGGACUUGAAGCCCCAUGCAAGCUGGCUUCAUUUGGUUUCAUUAUCAUCUUCUAGCACAACAGAACCUGCCAUACAGUUUCUCACCUUCUUGCUUUUCCUCAAGCUGUUCUCUCAAUCUGGAAUGCCCCCCCACCCCCACUUUUCCUGCCUCUGAGAAUCCGGCUCAUUCUUUGGACUGUAGUCAGCAUGCUCCAUCCCCCAUAAAGCCUCCUGUCACCCAAGCUGGAAGUAGUCACUCUUUAUUCAGUAUUGCCACAGAGAUUUACGUGUAUUUUUGCCUGAUAUUAUAAUGCAUUUGCUCAAAGAUGUGUUUCUUCUAUUAGUUUGUAAACUCCUUAAAGCUAGGAAAUGUCUUUUUUGUCUCCAUUUCUUGCCAGUUGCCAGCACAUGACUUUCCACAUAUUGGUUGCUCCUUCAAUAAUGAAUGAAAAAGAGAGAAAUUGGUGAAGGUUAGAGUGGAAGAGGAGUCUGGGGGUUGGCUGGAUAGGCUCGGACUAGCCUUGAACAUGGCCAACUAGGACGGGAACUCUGGGUUGUGGAGAACAGGUGCCGAGGAUAAUAACGAGGGAGGCAGUGGAUUAUGGGUAUGGUGAGGGGCUCAUGUUUAAAGACAGGAUCCUGGAGUUCCCGUGGUGGCACAGCAGAAACGAAUCUGACUAGGAAUCAUGAGGUUGCAGGAUUGAUCCCUGGCCUCGGCCAGUGGGUUAAGGAUCCGGUGUCGCUAUGAGCUGUGGUGUAGGUCACAGACUUGGCUCAGAUCUGGCGUUGCUGUGGCUGUGGUGUAGGCUGGCAGCUGUAGCUCCGAUUAGACCUAGCCUGGGAAUCUCCCUAUGCCAUGGGAGUGGCCCUUAAAGAAAAUAAAAGAUAAAGACAAGAUCCUGUGUGAUAAAAUCAUGCAUGUACACAAUUCAGCCUUCCUCACAGCAGACGCACCAAAUUGUAAAGUCCUUCAUCAGUAGGAAAUUAUUAUCCUGCCCACUUAAAAGGAUACAUGGCCUCUUUGCAUGACCCAGACACCUGUAUAUUGAAUGAUUGCUGCUCUAUCUAUUGUCUGAUGCCAUAAAGAGAUGGGGCCUUGACUGAUAGUGUGGUGCUGACCCACUGAUAUGCCCAUUAUUUAAUUGUAGAAAAGAUGGGCAAGGGGAUAUUCUGAUUAAUGAGAUUUCUUUGACCCCUAAUUAUUCUUUUCAUAUGUUAUCCUUUCAUCAACCUGUAUUUAUUUUCAGCAACACAAAGGAAACAUGAAAAAUAUGAUCUUUUAAUAUUGUGAAUCCCAAAAUAAUAAAAUUCACGGUCUCCCUUAUAGAUGCUCUCACACAAAUGUGUAGGUAGCUAUUUUGUUUAUAUCUAUAUUGUGUGUGUACUCUAUGCUUUCUUUAUAUAUAUACUCUAUGUAACUAUCCAUCAGUCCCUGCUUAGCCCAAUCUUCCAUACGUAAAAAGACUGCCAGUUGUGGGUUAGAGAUGAAAAGAAAGAGGUGAAAUAUCCUGAACGUUUCAGUUUUCAAUCCACUGUUUUCCAUGAGGAUAGAUACUUCUCUGUUCAGCCCAGGUUCCUGUGGGAAGUAUAAGCACAAAGAAAAUCCCGGGCAAAUGUCACUUUUUAUUCCUAGAUGAGUUCUGGCUGCCAACCCUUUUUUUGGACCCCCCAUUCACAGUAGGUUGGGGCCUUUGAGAGUCACCUGGAUGCCUUUUGGGUGGGCUGGAGGCUGUCCACAGAGCCUGGGGGGUGGCUCUUCGCCCCUGCCCUCAUCUGGGCUCUUAUGUGGCUUCCCCAGGUCCAGGAGACUCUCUGAGGCAGGAGGCAGCCAUGUCCCCAUCAACACAAUUCCCCUUAAUCAAGCCCUAGAUGGGCUCAGUCCCCUUAGAGCAGAGAGCAAACCCCAAAGAAAGGAUUCUAAAGAGACUGCCAUACAGAUGAACGAGCCUUGUUUACCUGCUUCUCAUAGGCCACCUUUUUCCGUCCUUAGCAUCAGGACCCAAGACUGUCUUGGCUCUGCCCAGCUCCCAGUAGGAGAGAGGAGAAGAGCGUCCAGCUAACCUAAUAGGUCGGGUGUGUAGCCAACAUUGGGUAGAGGUUAAAGUGAUAGCAGCAUUCAUGCCAAAUACGAUUAUUUUGUUGGAUAUCUCUUGUUCCGUGUAUGACAAGCUCACCUUCAUACUCCAGCCUUUGCUAUAGCAACCAGCUGUGAUCAGGUGUGAUCGAUGGCACCUCCCCUUAGCUUCCUCCCCUUAGUUUCCCAAGCAACUCCUGCCUUCUGCACCAUCGGCUUCUUUGCCACCUCUGUGGCUGGGGGAACCUAAUCAGCCUCUCCAAAUCGUGGCCAAAGCUGGUAGUGCAAGGGCGUUAACACUCUCAGUGGUGACUCUAGCCCCUUCUUUCUUCUCUCCCUUGGCUGUCAAUUCAUUUUUUUUUUUUUUUCAUUUUUUGGCUGCCUUGCAGCACAUGAAGUUGCCAGGCCAGGGAUCAGGUCGGAGCCACAGUUGUGACUUAUGGUGCAGCUGCAGCAAUGCCGGAUCCUUUAACCUACUGUGCUGGGCUGGGGGUUGACCCUGCAUCCUGGUGCUACAGAGAUGCUGCAGAUCCCACUGUCACUUCUAAAAUGCAUGUACACAGCUCCUCAUCAGGCUUCCCAGAGGCAUCUCAUCUGACGCUCCUGGGAUUGACUCUCCCCUCUUUCUCGUUUUCCACUUUUGUUUCUGGAAUUUCUUCCCCAAAUAACUCUCACGGUUCAGCUUUUUAGGGGAAUCCAGAAAAUAGAUAAAUGGGGGGGUGCAGGCUACAAGUGAUGAUCAAACCUAUUGCAUGGAGAAUAUUCUAACAGAUAUUUGAUUUGAAGUGGGAUAUUAAGGGAAUGGGGACUUGCUGGGGUCCUUUAUAAUACGCACUGAAAAGCCUAUGGGUUACUAAUUAAGAAUCGCAGUUAAACUGAAAAUAAAGAACACAGAAGCCAAGUGAUGGCAUCUCCUAUCUGGAAAUCUUUGCAAUUGGAGAGACAUCAUUCUGGAAUUCAGGCUGGAGAAAGGCUGGACAAAUUUCCCUGGUCCUAACCCAGUGUUUACUCUUUCAGCUUUGUUUGUCUGAUGAUGAGGACAGAUCAGUUAGUUCCCUGGGUCUCUGUAAAAACACAGGGAGCUUUUUCAUCCAAUAGAAGUGCUUGAGAACUUUCAUAAUGUGCUUAGAGUUUGGGGGCUAAGCAUCUUUCUAAACAAGUGGCAGGAUGAGGAUGUUUGGUGUAGUCUUUCAUUACUUGUUAAAAGAAAUAAUUUGCUCUUCUCAAGAAAACAUUUGCAAUGUGGUCGGCAGAGUACUUAGUAGUCAUUGGGAAGAGGCUGGAAGCAGUCAGGUGGUGGGAAAAGGAGGGGCAGAGCUAGAGAGAUGAAGAUGGGCAGAGCCAAACCUUUCCAUCCCCUCCUGGCUAUGCUCUAAUUCAUCUCCCAGCUUAAGCACCCACAGUUGGGUAAAAUAUAUUUAAGCCUCUCUCACAAUGACUGCAGGCAACGCAAGCAUGAAGCCUACUCAGUGUUUCAUCAGAAGAGACACAUUUUAGACUCCCAAACUCUGAAGUGGGCAAAAAAUAUUGUUAGCCAUUGUUUUCUCCCUUAUGUCUGUUGUCACUUGAAAAUGUUAAGGCACCUUUUUUUGCUAUAAUGCCUUAGAUUCUGCUCUGGCCAUUUUUGCUUCAAAAGGCUGACUUUUGCUCGUUUAAAAAGAGUCAUGGAAUCAUUGUAUAUUAUAUGCUCUCUGUUCAGGUGGAAAAGGAGUCUUAAAGACCAUCUAGUUCGAUCUUUCUUUUCGUAAGAUGCUUCCAAGUCAGACUUCCAAAACUCAGGUGAUCUAACCCGGAGUUCCCUUCGUGGCUCAGUGGUUAACGAAUCCGAUUAGGAAUCAUGAGGUUGGGGGUUCAAUCCCUGGCCUCACUCCAUGGGUUAAGGAUCUGGUGUUGCCAUGAGCUGUGGUGUAGGUUGCAGACGUGUCUUGGAUCCCACGUUGCUGUCUUGGAUCCCACGUUGCAGACGUGUCUUGGAUCCCUGGCCUCAUUCAGUGGGUUAAGGAUCUGGUGUUGCCAUGAGCUGUGGUGUAGGUUGCAGACGUGUCUUGGAUUCUCUGGUGAAGGCCAGCAGCUACAGCACCAAUUAGACCCCUAAGCCUGGGAACCUCCAUAUGCUGUGGGUGUGGCCCUA